rnacentral:rRNA from 1 species
CACUAUCGUUAACUGAAUACAUAGGUUAACGAGGCGAACCGGGGGAACUGAAACAUCUAAGUACCCCGAGGAAAAGAAAUCAACCGAGAUUCCCCCAGUAGCGGCGAGCGAACGGGGAGCAGCCCAGAGUCUGAAUCAGCUUGUGUGUUAGUGGAACGGUCUGGAAAGUCCGACGGUACAGGGUGAUAGUCCCGUACACCAAAAUGCACAGGUUGUGAACUCGAAGAGUAGGGCGGGACACGUGGUAUCCUGUCUGAAUAUGGGGGGACCAUCCUCCAAGGCUAAAUACUCCUGACUGACCGAUAGUGAACCAGUACCGUGAGGGAAAGGCGAAAAGAACCCCGGCGAGGGGAGUGAAAAAGAACCUGAAACCGUGUACGUACAAGCAGUGGGAGCACCUUCGGGUGUGACUGCGUACCUUUUGUAUAAUGGGUCAGCGACUUAUAUUCUGUAGCAAGGUUAACCGUAUAGGGGAGCCGCAGGGAAACCGAGUCUUAACUGGGCGUUAAGUUGCAGGGUAUAGACCCGAAACCCGGUGAUCUAGCCAUGGGCAGGUUGAAGGUUGGGUAACACUAACUGGAGGACCGAACCGACUAAUGUUGAAAAAUUAGCGGAUGACUUGUGGCUGGGGGUGAAAGGCCAAUCAAACCGGGAGAUAGCUGGUUCUCCCCGAAAGCUAUUUAGGUAGCGCCUCGUGAACUCAUCUUCGGGGGUAGAGCACUGUUUCGGCUAGGGGGUCAUCCCGACUUACCAACCCGAUGCAAACUACGAAUACCGAAGAAUGUUAUCACGGGAGACACACGGCGGGUGCUAACGUCCGUCGUGAAGAGGGAAACAACCCAGACCGCCAGCUAAGGUCCCAAAGUCAUGGUUAAGUGGGAAACGAUGUGGGAAGGCACAGACAGCCAGGAUGUUGGCUUAGAAGCAGCCAUCAUUUAAAGAAAGCGUAAUAGCUCACUGGUCGAGUCGGCCUGCGCGGAAGAUGUAACGGGGCUAAACCAUGCACCGAAGCUGCGGCAGCGACACUAUGUGUUGUUGGGUAGGGGAGCGUUCUGUAAGCCUGCGAAGGUGACCUGUGAGGGUUGCUGGAGGUAUCAGAAGUGCGAAUGCUGACAUAAGUAACGAUAAAGCGGGUGAAAAGCCCGCUCGCCGGAAGACCAAGGGUUCCUGUCCAACGUUAAUCGGGGCAGGGUGAGUCGACCCCUAAGGCGAGGCCGAAAGGCGUAGUCGAUGGGAAACAGGUUAAUAUUCCUGUACUUGGUGUUACUGCGAAGGGGGGACGGAGAAGGCUAUGUUAGCCGGGCGACGGUUGUCCCGGUUUAAGCAUGUAGGCUGAUUGUCCAGGCAAAUCCGGAUAAUCAAGGCUGAGGUGUGAUGACGAGGCACUACGGUGCUGAAGUAACAAAUGCCCUGCUUCCAGGAAAAGCCUCUAAGCAUCAGGUAACAUUAAAUCGUACCCCAAACCGACACAGGUGGUCAGGUAGAGAAUACCAAGGCGCUUGAGAGAACUCGGGUGAAGGAACUAGGCAAAAUGGUGCCGUAACUUCGGGAGAAGGCACGCUGGUGUGUAGGUGAAGCCCCUGCGGGUGGAGCUGAGACCAGUCGAAGAUACCAGCUGGCUGCAACUGUUUAUUAAAAACACAGCACUGUGCAAACACGAAAGUGGACGUAUACGGUGUGACGCCUGCCCGGUGCCGGAAGGUUAAUUGAUGGGGUUAUCCGUAAGGAGAAGCUCUUGAUCGAAGCCCCGGUAAACGGCGGCCGUAACUAUAACGGUCCUAAGGUAGCGAAAUUCCUUGUCGGGUAAGUUCCGACCUGCACGAAUGGCGUAAUGAUGGCCAGGCUGUCUCCACCCGAGACUCAGUGAAAUUGAACUCGCUGUGAAGAUGCAGUGUACCCGCGGCAAGACGGAAAGACCCCGUGAACCUUUACUAUAGCUUGACACUGAACAUUGAGCCUUGAUGUGUAGGAUAGGUGGGAGGCUUUGAAGCGUGGACGCCAGUCUGCGUGGAGCCAACCUUGAAAUACCACCCUUUAAUGUUUGAUGUUCUAACGUUGGCCCCUGACCGGGGUUGCGGACAGUGUCUGGUGGGUAGUUUGACUGGGGCGGUCUCCUCCCAAAGCGUAACGGAGGAGCACGAAGGUUAGCUAAUCCUGGUCGGACAUCAGGAGGUUAGUGCAAUGGCAUAAGCUAGCUUGACUGCGAGCGUGACG